rnacentral:rRNA from 1 species
CAGCCGCCGCGGUAAUACGUAGGUGGCAAGCGUUGUCCGGAAUUAUUGGGCGUAAAGGGCUCGCAGGCGGUUUCAUAAGUCUGAUGUGAAAGCCCCCGGCUCAACCGGGGAGGGUCAUUGGAAACUGGGAAACUUGAGUGCAGAAGAGGAGAGUGGAAUUCCACGUGUAGCGGUGAAAUGCGUAGAGAUGUGGAGGAACACCAGUGGCGAAGGCGACUCUCUGGUCUGUAACUGACGCUGAGGAGCGAAAGCGUGGGGAGCGAACAGGAUUAGAUACCCCCGUAGUCCCUGUCUCUUAUAC